rnacentral:rRNA from 1 species
CAAUAGCGUAUAUUAAAGUUGUUGCGGUUAAAAAGCUCGUAGUUGGAUUUCUGUUGGGAACGACCGGUCCGCCCAUUGGGUGUGUAUCUGGCUUGUUCUCGGCAUCUUCUUGGUGAACGUUGCUGCACUUGACUGUGUGGAGCGCUACCCAGGACUUUUACUUUGAGGAAAUUAGAGUGUUUCAAGCAGGCAUAUGCCUUGAAUACAUUAGCAUGGAAUAAUAAGAUAGGACCUCGGUUCUAUUUUGUUGGUUUCUAGAGCUGAGGUAAUGAUUAAUAGGGAUAGUUGGGGGCAUUCGUAUUUAACUGUCAGAGGUGGAAUUCUUGGAUUUGUUAAAGACGGACUACUGCGAAAGCAUUUGCCAAGGAUGUUUUCAUUA